UACGUAGGGUGCAAGCGUUGUCCGGAAUUAUUGGGCGUAAAGAGCUCGUAGGCGGUCUGUCGCGUCUGCUGUGAAAACUCGGGGCUUAACCCCGGGCCUGCAGUGGGUACGGGCAGACUAGAGUGCGGUAGGGGAGAUUGGAAUUCCUGGUGUAGCGGUGGAAUGCGCAGAUAUCAGGAGGAACACCGGUGGCGAAGGCGGCUUGCUGGGCCUUACCUGACGCUGAGGAGCGAAAGCGUGGGGAGCGAACAGG
rnacentral:rRNA from 1 species